GCACAAUGGCGGCCUGCUAAUACAUGCAAGUCGAGCGAACAGACGAGGAGCUUGCUCCUUUGACGUUAGCGGCGGACGGGUGAGUAACACGUGGGUAACCUACCUAUAAGACUGGGAUAACUUCGGGAAACCGGAGCUAAUACCGGAUAAUAUUUCGAACCGCAUGGUUCGAUAGUGAAAGAUGGCUCUGCUAUCACUUAUAGAUGGACCUGCGCCGUAUUAGCUAGUUGGUAAGGUAACGGCUUACCAAGGCAACGAUACGUAGCCGACCUGAGAGGGUGAUCGGCCACACUGGAACUGAGACACGGUCCAGACUCCUACGGGAGGCAGCAGUAGGGAAUCUUCCGCAAUGGGCGAAAGCCUGACGGAGCAACGCCGCGUGAGUGAUGAAGGUCUUCGGAUCGUAAAACUCUGUUAUUAGGGAAAAACAAACGUGUAAGUAACUGUGCACGUCUUGACGGUACCUAAUCAGAAAGCCACGGCUAACUACGUGCCAGCAGCCGCGGUAAUACGUAGGUGGCAAGCGUUAUCCGGAAUUAUUGGGCGUAAAGCGCGCGUAGGCGGUUUUUUAAGUCUGAUGUGAAAGCCCACGGCUCAACCGUGGAGGGUCAUUGGAAACUGGAAAACUUGAGUGCAGAAGAGGAAAGUGGAAUUCCAUGUGUAGCGGUGAAAUGCGCAGAGAUAUGGAGGAACACCAGUGGCGAAGGCGACUUUCUGGUCUGUAACUGACGCUGAUGUGCGAAAGCGUGGGGAUCAAACAGGAUUAGAUACCCUGGUAGUCCACGCCGUAAACGAUGAGUGCUAAGUGUUAGGGGGUUUCCGCCCCUUAGUGCUGCAGCUAACGCAUUAAGCACUCCGCCUGGGGAGUACGACCGCAAGGUUGAAACUCAAAGGAAUUGACGGGGACCCGCACAAGC
rnacentral:rRNA from 1 species